AUCCUGCAAAAAUGUUUCUCUAUCCAUCUCUUGAAGACUUGAAGGUAGACAAAGUAAUUCAGGCUCAGACUGCCUUUUCUGCAGAUCCUGCCAACCCAGCAAUUUUGUCAGAAGCUUCUGCUCCUGUCUCUCAAGAUGGACAUCUCUAUCCUAAACUGUAUCCAGAGCUCUCUCAGUACAUGGGCCUGAGUUUAAAUGAAGAAGAAAUACGUGCAAAUACCGUCUUGGUCCCUGGAGCACCAAUUCAGGGGCAGUCGGUAGCAAGGCCUUCCAGUAUGAACUAUAUGGUUGCUCCUGUAACUGGUAAUGAUGUUGGAAUUUGUAGAGCAAAAAUUAAGCAAGGGAUUCGUGAAGUCAUUUUGUGUAAGGAUUAAGAUGGAAAAAUUGGACUUAGGCUUAAAUCGAUAGAUAAUGCUAUAUUUGUUCAGCUGGUCCAGGCUAAUUCUCCAGCCUGUUUGGUUGGUCUGAGAUUUGGGGACCAAGUACUCCAGAUCAAAAAAGCACACAAGGUUCUCAAACAAGCUUUUGGAGAGAUUUACUAUGACCAUUCAUGACAGGCCCUUUGAACAGACAAUCACCAUGCACAAGGAUAGCAGUGGACAUGUUGGCUUUAUCUUUAAAAAUGGAAGAAUAACAUCCAUAGUCAAAGAUAGUUCUGAAGCCAGAAAUGGUCUUCUCACGGAGCACAGCAUCUGUGAAAUCAAUGGGCAGAAUGUCAUUGGAUUGAAAGACUCUCAAAUUGCAGACAUACUGUCAACAGCUGGAACCGUAGUUACCCUUACAAUCAUGCCUGCUUUUAUCUUUGAACAUAUCAUUAAACGGAUGGCGCCAAGCAUUAUGAAAAACCUGAUGGACCACACCAUUCCUGAAGUUUAA